rnacentral:lncRNA from 1 species
UAGGUCUAAAUUUUAUAUGGGUCACAAUUUAUUUAUUAUAGACAAAAUAUACUUAUAUGAAACUUGAACCCAUGACAUGUGGGUCAACAAGAACAUUUUUAACCAGUUCAACACAACUACAACAUUAAAAAUAAACCUAAAAACGGUUAUAAACCAGAUUGUGGAUGCCUCGUAACCAAAAGAUUAUGAUUUGUAAUCUUUUCAUUUAUUUAUGACGGUGUAAUCUCCUAUAUAAGGAACCUCUAUGUUAUGAAUAAAGAUAGAUUUUUCCAUUACUUUUAUAACACGUUAUCAGCACGAUUGAUCUCUAAAACCUUAAGCUAAAAUAUCGACCAUAAACCCUAAAUCUCUCUCCAUUGCUAAAACCCUAACAUCUAUCGAUC